rnacentral:rRNA from 1 species
GGUUUAACCCCCUAAACUUAUCCCUCCCCAAAAAGUCCCCAGCCCAUAACACCGACAUUACUCCCCGAAACCUAGGCUCAUACCAAAUAACAUUUUGAACCGCAUGGUUCGAAAUUGAAAGGCGGCUUCGGCUAUCACCCAUCCACCGACCCGCGUCGCAAUAUCUAGUUGCUGAGGUAACGGCUCACCAAGGCAACGAUACGUAGCCAACCUGAGAGGGUGAUCUGCCACACUGGGACUGAGACACGGCCCAGACUCCUACGGGAGGCAGCAGUAGGGAAUCUUCCCCAAUGGACGAAAGUCUGACGGAGCAACGCCGCGUGAGUGAUGAAGGCUUUCGGGUCGUAAAACUCUGUUGUUAGGGAAGAACAAGUGCUACUUGAAUAAGCUGGCACCUUGACGGUACCUAACCAUAAAGCCACGGCUAACUACGUGCCACCAGCCGCGGUAAUACGUACGUGGCAAGCGUUAUCCAGAAUUAUUGCGCGUAAAGCGCGCGCAGGUCCUUUCUUAAGUCUGAUGUUAAAGC